AUUGAACGCUGGCGGCAUGCCUUACACAUGCAAGUCGAACGGCAGCACGGGAGCAAUCCUGGUGGCGAGUGGCGAACGGGUGAGUAAAGCAUCGGAACGUGCCCAGUCGUGGGGGAUAACGUAGCGAAAGCUACGCUAAUACCGCAUACGAUCUAUGGAUGAAAGCGGGGGAUCGCAAGACCUCGCGCGAUUGGAGCGGCCGAUGUCAGAUUAGGUAGUUGGGGAGGUAAAGGCUCACCAAGCCGACGAUCUGUAGCUGGUCUGAGAGGACGACCAGCCACACUGGGACUGAGACACGGCCCAGACUCCUACGGGAGGCAGCAGUGGGGAAUUUUGGACAAUGGGCGCAAGCCUGAUCCAGCAAUGCCGCGUGCAGGAUGAAGGCCUUCGGGUUGUAAACUGCUUUUGUACGGAGCGAAACGGCUUCCACUAAUACUGGGGGCUAAUGACGGUACCGUAAGAAUAAGCACCGGCUAACUACGUGCCAGCAGCCGCCGUAA
rnacentral:rRNA from 1 species